rnacentral:lncRNA from 1 species
CAGUUAGUGUAAGAGGAAGAGAGCCCAAGACUCCUCAAGGCCUCACCAUUCUCAACUACCAAACAACUUCAGCUUCAAAGCUCCCAACAUCUACACCUCCAGUGUCUCCUCUUUGGAAUGACUACAACCACAGCAAAUCUUUCUCCAACAAAAUCCUGGCCCUCAUGGGCUCCCCCAAGCCUCCAACCACCUACAACCGCAGAAUCAUCCUCCUCAACACUCAAAACACUAUCAAUGGAUUCACCAAAUGGGCUAUCAAUAAUAUAUCCCUAACAUUGCCUCCAACUCCUUAUUUGGGUGCCAUUAAGCAUCGUUUGAGCAACGCUUUCGAUCAGAAGAGUCCACCAGAGAACUUUCCCAACGAUUAUGAUGUGAUGAAACCUCCAACAAACACUAACUCGACAUAUGGGAAUGGGGUGUACAUGCUUGAGUUUAGGACAACGGUCGACGUGAUUCUUCAAAAUGCCAAUGCAUUAGCAACAGGUGUCAGUGAAAUACACCCUUGGCACCUGCAUGGUCAUGAUUUUUGGGUGUUGGGAUAUGGAGAAGGAAAGUUUAGGGAAAAGGAUGCGAAGAGGUUUAACUUAAAGAAUCCACCAUUGAGGAAUACUGCAGUGAUAUUCCCUUUCGGAUGGACAGCUCUUAGGUUUGUGGCGGAUAAUCCUGGGGUUUGGGCAUUUCACUGCCACAUUGAGCCUCAUUUGCAUAUGGGAAUGGGAGUGGUCUUUGCCGAAGGUGUUCAUCUGGUCAAAGAUGUACCAAACCAUGCUCUUGCUUGUGGCUUGACCGGGAAAAUGUUGAUGAGUAACUACAGUCACCACUGAGAAUAGCUAGCUGGCAACCUAGCUGAAGCUAUCUUCAAUUUUUGUGUGGUACAUACAUGCAAUUAAAAGCCUAUUUAUUUAGUUGGAAAACUGAGAACCAAAUUCUAUUUGAAGAGAGAUUUAGUCUUGUGUUUGGUUUCUUAUGUUUUGGCAAUGGUUGUGAUAUUUAAUGUAUGACAAGUAAAUUUUCCACAAUUGCACUUUGAAUUACUAUAAAACUAGAUUCCCAUCUCGUUUAUAGGGGUUGAAGUAGGACUGAUUCAUGAGAUCAACUUACAUGCUCAAUCCAUUCAAAUAGGGUGUGUUAGCAUGAAUAGCCAUGUGUUGAGUGGCAAUUGAUAUGGUCUGGAUUUAGGAGUCCUUCGAGAGUGAUAUUCAUAAAAGUGCUUUCAGUAUGUAGCGUUUUUUGUAAUGGUAUAUAUAGCAAAAAAAAAAAAAAGUGCUUUAGUAUUUUAGAAGUACAUAACAAGUGCUAAUCCAAAAAUUACUUAAAAUUUUAAAAGUGAUUUUAAUAACAUUGAUAAAUGUCUAAUAUUUAAAAGAAAAACCUUUUUGGCUGCAUUUAGUAGGUAGGGUUAAAUGGUGGGCUAGGAUUUUUUUUUUUUUUUUUUGAUAGAUAAACAGUCAAAUAUAUUAGAAGAGGCUAAAAAAGCCGCAUGUAUACAGGGGGUAUACUAAACAGCCCCAAAAGAGGCUGGAACAUCAACAAAAAAGGUUAAAAACCUCACCCACCCUCAAGUGGUCCCAAGCCACUCCAAAAAGCCUAACAGAGAGUAGGUUUCCUCACCAAUGUACACCUUAGCCCAACCCCACAAAUUACAAACAAAAGAAUUCUUGAAUUUCUAAAUAUCUAAAGACCCUCCCCUAAACACUAUCCUAUUCCUUUCCUUCCAAACCGUCCAAAAAAUGCACAGCGGUAUGGAAUUCCAUAUUUUUUUUCUUUUUUUUCCCACAAAAGAACCCCUCCAACUAUGAAGCACCUCUAUAACCGACUCUGGGAACACCCAUUGAACUCCGAAAAUGACAAGGGUAAUCUCCCAAAUAGUUUUAACCACUGUACAAUGUAAGAGAAUAUGAUUCGCAUUUUCCUCUUCGCAUCCACAUAAAUAACACCGAUUAGGUAGCUGCCAUCCCCUUCUUUGAAGCUUAUCCAAAGUGAGGAUCUUCCCCCACGCUGCCUCCCAAGCAAAAAAAGACACUUUUGUUGGAACCCUAUCCAUCCAAAUGCGUCUAUUCGGAAAAGCACCAACUGAGUAGCCGCUCAAACUUCUGUAGGCCCCCUUGGCCCCAAAAACGUCGUUGCCUUCCCGCUUCCAUCUCACUGAGUCCUCCUCCUGAGAAAUCCUGAAAUCCUUCAGAAGAUUCAGCAUUUCUCCUAUCUGAUCUAUCUCCCAAUCAUUGAAAUCUCUAGCCAAACUGAGAUUCCACCCUCCUUGCCCCAAACUAGAAUCCCACACUUCGCAAACUUUGGCAUUCUUAUGACCCGCCAAGGUAAACAACUGAGGAAAAGUUUGAGAAAGCGCCUCAUUGCCACACCACUUAUCCAUCCAAAACAAAACUCUAUUCCCCUUCCCAACCUUAAGGUCCAUGCUCUCCCAACACCACUCCGCCUCUUUCAUUAUCUCCUUCCACAACCCCACCCCAUAAGGCCCACAAACUUCCUUAGUCCUCCACCCACAUCCCUCUUGACCAUAUUUCACCCCUAUCGCCUUUUUCCAUAGGUUAUCCUUCUCAUAGGCAUAUCUCCAUACCCAUUUGCCCAACAAUGUUUUGUUCAACAAAUCUAUCUUUCGGAUGCCUAAUCCCCCCUCCUCCUUAGGGCUGCAAACCACUUGCCAAUUAAUCAAAUGAACUUUCCCCUCCAAGCUUCCUCCCCCCCACAAGAAAUCUCUUUGGAUUUUUUCAAUCCUUUUUGCCACCACCUUAGGAAUUCGAAUAAGUGAAAGGAGGUAGAUGGGUAUGCUGGCCAAGGUGCUCUUAAUAAGAGUAAUUCUUCCCCCCUUGGAGAUAUAUUGCCUUUUCCACUGGGCCAAUCUUCUUCUCAUUCUCUCUUCCACCCCAUCCCAAGAAGAGGCGUUUUUAUGAUUGGCUCCAAGGGGCAGCCCCAAGUAAACAGCGGGUAAAGCCCCCAAUUUACAACCCAGCUCAGCCGCCAAUUCCUCCAUCCCAUCCACUUCCCCCACCGGAAUAAGGACACUCUUAGCCAGAUUAAUUCUCAAGCCGGAGGCAGCCUCAAACCACGCCAAAAUCCAGCUUAGAUUGGUCAGUUGCUCUCUUCUAGCUUUGCAAAAAAUUAGAGUGUCGUCAGCAAAGAGGAGGUGCGAAACAGUCAGCUCAUCCCCCCCUCUCCCCCGCAUCCUACAGCCUGAAAUAAAGCCCCCUUCACCAGCCCGUCUAAUCAUGGUGCUAAGCACUUCCAUACCCAAAACAAAAAGAUAAGGAGAGAGGGGAUCUCCNNNNNNNNNNNNNNNNNNNNNNNNNNNNNNNNNNNNNNNNNNNNNNNNNNNNNNNNNNNNNNNNNNNNNNNNNNNNNNNNNNNNNNNNNNNNNNNNNNNNUUUUUUUUUUUUUUUCCCACAAAAGAACCCCCUCCAAUUAUGAAGCACCUCUAUAACCGACUCUGGGAACACCCAUGAAACUCCGAAAAUGACAAGGGUAAUCUCCCAAAUAGUUUUAACCACUGUACAAUGUAAGAGAAUAUGAUUCACAUUUUCCUCUUCGCAUCCACAUAAGUAACACCGAUUAGGUAGCUGCCAUCCCCUUCUUUGAAGCUUAUCCAAAGUGAGGAUCUUCCCCCACGCUGCCUCCCAAGCAAAAAAAGACACUUUUGUUGGAACCCUAUCCAUCCAAAUGCGUCUAUUCGGAAAAGCACCAACUGAGUGGCCGCUCAAACUUCUGUAGGCCCCCUUGGCCCCAAAAACGCCGUUGCCUUCCCGCUUCCAUCUCACUGAGUCCUCCUCCUGAGAAAUCCUGAAAUCCUUCAGAAGAUUCAGCAUUUCUCCUAUCUGAUCUAUCUCCCAAUCAUUGAAAUCUCUAGCCAAACUGAGAUUCCACCCUCCUUGCCCCAAACUAGAAUCCCACACUUCACAAACUUUGGCAUUCUUAUGACCCGCCAAGGUAAACAACUGAGGAAAAGUUUGAGAAAGCGCCUCAUUGCCACACCACUUAUCCAUCCAAAACAAAACUCUAUUCCCCUUCCCAACCUUAAGGUCCAUGCUCUCCCAACACCACUCCGCCUCUUUCAUUAUCUCCUUCCACAACCCCACCCCAUAAGGCCCACAAACUUCCUUAGUCCUCCACCCACAUCCCUCUUGCCCAUAUUUCACCCCUAUCGCCUUUUUCCAUAGGUUAUCCUUCUCAUAGACAUAUCUCCAAACCCAUUUGCCCAACAAUGUUUUGUUCAACAAAUCUAUCUUUCGGAUGCCUAAUCCCCCCUCCUCCUUAGGGCUGCAAACCACUUGCCAAUUAAUCAAAUGAACUUUCCCCUCCAAACUUCCUCCCCCCCACAAGAAAUCUCUUUGGAUUUUUUCAAUCCUUUUUGCCACCGCCUUAGGAAUUCGAAUAAGUGAAAGGAGGUAGAUGGGUAUGCUGGCCAAAGUGCUCUUAAUAAGAGUAAUUCUUCCCCCCUUGGAGAUAUAUUGCCUUUUCCACUGGGCUAAUCUUCUUCUCAUUCUCUCUUCCACCCCAUCCCAAGAAGAGGCGUUUUUAUGAUUGGCUCCAAGGGGCAGCCCCAAGUAAACAGCGAGUAAAGCCCCCAAUUUACAACCCAGCUCAGCCGCCAACUCCUCCAUCUCAUCCACUUCCCCCACCGGAAUAAGGACACUCUUAGCCAGGUUAAUUCUCAAGCCGGAGGCAGCCUCAAACCACGCCAAAAUCCAGCUUAGAUUGGUCAGUUGCUCUCUUCUAGCUUUGCAGAAAAUAAGAGUGUCGUCAGCAAAGAGGAGGUGCGAAACAGUCAGCUCAUCCCCCCCUCUCCCCCGCAUCCUACAGCCUGAAAUAAAGCCCCCUUCACCAGCCCGUCUAAUCAUGGUGCUAAGCACUUCCAUACCCAAAACAAAAAGAUAAGGAGAGAGGGGAUCUCCUUGCCGCAGCCCCUUUGAGUUCGAAAAGAAACCAGCUGGAACCCCAUUGAUUAAUAUAGAGAAUUUGGCGGUAGAAAUACACCACCUCAUCCAUUCCUCCCACCGAGACCCAAAUCCCAUCUUCCGAAGAACCUUCAUAAGGAAGUUCCAAUUGAUACUAUCAUAAGCUUUUUCAAUGUCCAACUUACAUAUCAACCCUUUCUCUUUUCUUUUAUACCAAUAAUCAAUCACCUCAUUAGCUACUAGAGAAGCAUCCAAAAUCUGUCUCCCUCUCACAAAGGCGUUUUGGUCAACUGAGACCACUCUGUCCAGCACUUUCUUUAGCCUAUUUGCUAGGACUUUGGCUAAAAGUUUAUACAAACUCCCAAGCAAACUAAUUGGCCUAAAGUCCCCCAAGUCAUCAGCUCCUCCUUUCUUGGGAAUAAGGACCAAAAAGGUGGUAUUAAGAGACUUGGCAAAGGAUUCAUACUCAAAGAAUUCCUUAAACAGUUUCAUCACCUCCUCCUUCACCACAUCCCAGCAAUCUUGCCAAAAGGCCAUUGUGAACCCAUCCGGACCUGGAGCUUUAUCACCCCUCAUCUCCAUUAGUGCAAAAUGAAUUUCCUCCUCAGAGAAGGGCACCUCCAAAUUUUCAGCUUCCCGGGAAUUAAGCUGUUUGAGCUGCAGGCCCUCAAUAUCUGUUCUCCACCCCGGCUCUUCUGAAAGUAAAUUCUGGAAAGCAUUCACUAUCCCCUCCCUCACCUCUUGAUCCUCAGUCAGCAACUCCCCAUUAAUUGUAAUCCUAUCCAAAGAAUUAUUCCUGCGAUGAGCAUUGGCCAUACGAUGAAAAUAACCGGUAUUCCUAUCCCCUUCCUUUAGCCACAGCUCCCUAGAUUUCUGCCUCCACUGAAUUUCCUCCAUUAGCACCCAUUUAUAAAAGACAUGGCUAGGAUUUUGAAAAAUUAUCAACUACUUUGGUAUUGAUGCAAGCAAGAAACAAAGGUAAUGUGUACAACAACAAAGAAAUGAAGAAGUUUCUUAUUUUCUAUAUCCAAAAAUGUAUAGGCAGGUGAGUAUUUAUAUACAAAAAACUUAGCAAAAUGAUAGCUGAAAAAUAACAAACUACAAACUAAAAAACUCAUUGCUAACUAACUAAAAUUAAGUUGCGACUUAACUACUAACUUUCUGUACAUCCUCCCUGCAAGUUGGAGCUUGGUGAAAAUCAAACAAGCCUUACUUGGACAACAAAAAUGAAAAAGUAGGAGCAGAUAAAGCUUUUGUGAAUAUGUUUGCAAUGUGAAGCUUUGAAGAAAUGUGAUGAGGUAAAAUAAAUCCUUGCUUGAAUUUAUCUUGAACCAAGUGACAAUCAAUCUCCAAAUGUUUGGUACGAUCUAAAAUACAAGAUUAGUUGUAAUGUGGAGAGUUGCAUGGUUGUCACACUAAGGAGGAAUAGAGAGAGAAGGAAGAAAACCAAAAUCUUGUAAGAGAUAAGAUAUCCAUUGCAAUUCACAAACAGUGGAAACCAUGCUUCUAUAUUUAGCUUUAGCAGAAGAACGGGACACAGUAGUUUGUUUCUUGGUUUUCCAAGAAAUCAAAGUUGAUCCAAAGAAAAUACAAUAACCAGUAAGAGACCUUCUAGUAUCAAUGCAAGAGGCCCAAUCAACAUCACAAUAAGCUUGAAGCUUAAAAGAAUUACUAGAAAGGAAAAAUAUUCCUUCAAAGUGACAACCCUUGAGAUAGUGUAGAGCAUGUAAGGCAGCAUCCCAAGAGCUUGGCAAGGAGCAUGAACAAAUUGACUUAGUUGUUGAACAACAUAAGUAAAAUCAGGUCAAGUAAAUCCCAAAUAGAGAAGACCUCCAAUUAUUCUUCUAUAUUUGUCUAGAUUGGAGAGUAAAGAGCCCAUAGUUGUAGAAAAUUUGUGGCCUGGAGGAAGUGGAGUAGUAGCAGGUUUGACGCCUAAUAAACCUGUGUCCUUAAGAAUGUCCAUAACAUACUUUCUUGAUUGAUAUAAGUACCAGUAGUAGAACGAGCUAUCUCAAGACUAAGAAAAUACUUGGCAUAACCAAGAUCUUUAACUGUAAAUUGAGAAUAUAGAAAUUGCUUAACAGCAACAAUAUCAUCCUCAUUAGUUACUAUGACUAAAACAUCAUCCACAUAGAUAAUCAAGGCUAGAAAAACAUGGUCUGAUUGUUUGACAAACAAACAAUUAUCAUGAACUAACUGAUGAAAACCAAAUUGUUUCAAUUUUAUAGUAAAUUCAUAAUUCCACUACCUAGAUGCCUGUUUAAGAUCAUAUAGAGAUUGUUUAAGUUUACAUACUUGACUUGGUAUGGCAUUAGUAUAACCUUCUAGAGGCUGCAUAUAGACUUUUUUCAUCCAAAUAAUCAUGCAAGAAAACAUUGUUGAUAUCUAAUUGAUGAAUUGGCCAAGACUUUGUAGUAGCAAUAGCUAGUAACAACUUGAUGAUAACAAGCUUAGCAACAGGUGAAAAAUUGUCAAAAUAAUCUAUCCAUUCUAUUUUAUUAUAACCUUUUGCCUCUAGUCUUGCUUUAAACAUAUCAACACUACCAUCAGGUUUAAGUUUAACCUUGUAGACCCAUUUGGAACCAAUGGCUUUCUUACCCACAGGUAAACUUUUUAAAUCCCAAGUAUGAUUAUCCUCUAGAGCAGCAAGCUCUUUGUUCAUUCCUACAACCCAUUUUGCAUGAACGCUAGCCUGUUUAUAAGAAAUUGGUUCGGGAAAAGCUAUAAGAAGUAAUGAAUGGAAAAAUGUUGGGUGUUUAGGAAGAAGUAGGAUCAAGAGUUGUGAUUGAAGAAGCAUUGUUAGUAGAUGAAGUAAUAGAAUCUAUAAUAUUUGAAACAAAGUCAUUCAACCAAGUUUGUUUCCUUUUAACUUGAGUACUGUGCCUUGGAGAUAAAACAAGAGGAAUAGAUAUAGAAGUAGAGAGCAAGACAGGUAGAGUAGAUAUAGAUGAAUCAUAAUGUGUAGAGGAAUGAGAAAUAGAAAGAACAUCACUCCUUAUUUAGGUACCUAAAUAAUCCUCCUCAACACUCAAAACACUAUCAAUGGAUUCACCAAGUGGGCUAUCAAUAAUAUAUCCCUAACAUUGCCUCCAACUCCUUAUUUAGGUGCCAUUAAGCAUCGUUUGCAAAACGCUUUCGAUCAGAAGAGUCCACCAGAGAACUUUCCCAACGAUUAUGAUGUGAUGAAACCUGCAACAAACACUAACUCGACAUAUGGGAAUGGGGUGUACAUGCUAGAGUUUAGGACAACGGUCGACGUGAUUCUUCAAAAUGCCAAUGCAUUAGCCACAGGUGUCAGUGAAAUACACCCCUGGUCAUGAUUUUUGGGUGUUGGGAUAUGGAGAAGGAAAGUUUAGGGAAAAUGAUGCAAAGACGUUUAACUUGAAGAAUCCACCAUUGAGGAAUACUGCAGUGACAUUCCCUUUCGCAUGGACAGCUCUUAGGUUUGUGGCGGAUAAUCCUGGGGUUUGGGCAUUUCACUGCCACAUUGAGCCUCAUUCGCAUAUGGGAAUGGGAGUGGUCUUUGCUGAAGGUGUUCAUCUG